UAGUUUAUACUAAUUAAAAUGAAUAUAAUAUUAACGUGAAUAAUAUUCUAUUAAAAAAUUGUAAUGUUGUUUUAUAUACACUAAGAAGUUUUGAGUUUAACAUUAAAUAUGUAUAAAAUUACAAAGAAUGUAAUUAUCUGUAAAUUGCACAUCUUUGUCAUUUCUUUUUAGAAGUUUGUUUUUAUAUCUUUUUACUUAAAAUGAACGGAUUUUAUAACUCUUAUUGUACAUUAAGUGCUCUAUAUUUUUUACGUUAAUAAUAGAUUUUCGAGUUAGAAAUCGAGAAUCUAAGAAAUGUAAUCUAAACAAUGUCUUUUUCUAAAAAAAUGUUAAAUCAAAUCGUUAUAAUGGUAAAUUCUAUUUAUUAGGAUAAUGACUCAGUUUAACGGAGAAUUUCAAGGAAAACGAUACUUCUAAUCUAAAUUCCGUGCUUUUAAAUAACAAUGCACAUUUUCUUCAAUUUAUUAACAAUUUUUUUAAUAAUCGGAUGUACUCUGCUUACAUUACAGAAAAUUUUUACCCUCGAAGUUGUCACUGCGCAGAUAAGUUAAAAUAAUUAUAUAAAAAUAAAAAAGAUGCUAAAUUUCGAAUGUUAUAAUCUUGAUUUCUAUUUAUUACAGAUAAUAUUUACGUUAUGGGCAUUUGCAACGUUUUGAAAAUCACAUAAACAUUAUUUAAUAGAAGAAAUAUAAAGAAUAGAAGAAAUAUCAUAGAAGACAACGUGCCAGUCUGAAAGUGAAUUUCGAGGAAUACGAGUGUUAUAGGGACUGGAAUAUUAACGAGAUAGAAGAUGUGAACUCUCGUGGAAGUAAAUGGGACUUUGGUUAAAUGUAAAUGUAUAUUUCUACUGUCCAUAGUUUUUAUGUAAAUAUUUAUACAUACACAUUAUGGGAUUGAUAUGGGCUGGGGUAUUAACGAUGCAGAAGUGAUUAAGUUUCGUUAAAGCAAUUUGAACAAGGAUAAACAUGUAGUAUAUAUCAUUAAAUAUAUAUAUAUAUAUAUAUAUAUAUUAAUUAAAAACCAUCACAGAACCAGGAAGGAAGAAGGAAGGAUGGAAAGAUUGAAGAUUACACUAAUUAAGCCACUUUACAAGUAUUAACUGACAAAGUAAGCUCUUGGAGUU